UACGGAGGGAGCUAGCGUUGUUCGGAAUUACUGGGCGUAAAGCGCACGUAGGCGGCUUUGUAAGUUAGAGGUGAAAGCCCGGGGCUCAACCCCGGAAUUGCCUUUAAGACUGCAUCGCUAGAAUUGUGGAGAGGUAAGUGGAAUUCCGAGUGUAGAGGUGAAAUUCGUAGAUAUUCGGAAGAACACCAGUGGCGAAGGCGACUUACUGGACACAUAUUGACGCUGAGGUGCGAGAGCGUGGGGAGCAAACAGG
rnacentral:rRNA from 1 species